AUAAACAUUUCCCCAUGACUGAAUUUUGAGUGGAAAACUUUGCUUUCUAAAAGGCUCUAAGUAAAGAAAAGAAAAAAAAAGCCUGUCUUGUCAGUGUGUAUACGUGUGUGUGUGUGUUUGUGUGUGUGUGUGUAUUUAGAUCCAGCUUAAUACUAAGUAAUGCCAACAUCUGGCAAAGAGAUGGAGAUCUGGGAAUUUGUUGCUUGAAGCCCUGGGACAAAGUGUUCUGAUCUGACCAGCGAACAUAGCUGUGGACUUGAACUGGAAUCUUCAGGGGCAGAAAUGUCUUAAGUGUCUGGAAUAUUGGCUUGUUGAGUCACCAUAAAGGCACUAAAACAAAACUAAUUUUAAGCAGGUCAGAGUUCAGUGAUUCCCUCUGGAAUUCAGUCUUUUUUUAAGAGUCUCAUGUUUUAAGUGAAAAGGGUCAAAGUUGAUGCACUGUUACAAUGUUUUGAAUGCUUUCCCUUAAGAACAGCCACCCAAACUGGGAUUAGCAUGAGGAACUGCAAGGCUGGCACUUCAGUGUCUGGGUUAAAAAUAUUUUAAAGCAGUAAAUGCAGUCAGUACAGAGAAAUCCCUGGGAGCCUUUCUAUUCAAAAAUGUGUGAGCUCAGGGCAGCAACUGCAAUGUAAUUUAGGGCAGUGUAUGCUUCAUAGCUUUGGAGAAUAUUGCUUCCAGUUAAUGUUCCAUCGGAGGAUGGUAGGAUAGUAGUAAUUUUAGAAGGUGGUAUUCCUGUUUGUCUUACAUCAAAAACUUCAGAAUAAAUAAAGAGAAAUAUCAAUCAAACAAGAAAUGUAACUAUGGAAAAGUACCAAUGAAUCUAAAUUUGAACGGAAUAGAUUCAAAACCAGCAUGGGUGUAGAAAUAUUUUUAAGGAGGAAGCUAAGGCAAAAACAACUUCCCAGGGAUUGGACUACACAGGUUGAUCACUUUCACCCCUGAAGCAAUUGAGAAACCACCUAGAGGAAAAAAAGAUGGGAGAGAAAUAGAGGAUAAAGCAAAAGAAAGUGAGUAUACAAGAAGCCCAGCAUAAAAUAUAAGGGAUCUCAAAGUGGGUACUUGGUUCUUACUAUCUUAGGAACACUUUAAACCAAAG
rnacentral:lncRNA from 1 species